GGGCACGUCAAUAUUGAAUACACCAAGAAUUGUACACAAGAGAACAUGUAUCAAACGAUUAAAAUAUUUCUUUUAUUUUUCUCCGUCAUUUCGAUACCACGUUGUUUUAUAACACUCGCUGAGGCGUUGUUGGUUUUGAUCUUUUGAAGGAUCCAUCCAAGUGUGGUACCUUCUACAGUAGACGAUGCAGAUUCCCUCAGGUAGCAGCUAUGUGCCCAAGAGUCUGUAAUGGUAAAUAAAUUUGAAGCUGAAAAGAUAACGACAGUAUUUAGAGAAGUCUUGAUUUUAGCGAUAUUAAAUACAUAACUGAACUAAGUAAGAUAUAAAAUAUAUUUAACUGUCUUGAAAUUGUAUUACAUAACUGUCAAGAGGUACUAAAGUUACUUUUAAUGCUAUUAUUGUCAUACGUAGUAUAUAUAAUGUGGCGGUUACAUAUGCAUAUAAAGCAGAGAGACAUGUCAAGAGACAGGAAUAUGAAGGAAAUAUUUGUCCAACCUCUUAUACAUAUUCUUCUUAUUAUCAUGCCAGGAUAUUAUGUAAUACUUGUGAAAGGACUGAUAAGAAAUUCUUUUAUUUCUUUAUAAAAUUCCCUCGCAAUAUCGCUCGAUCACUUUCAAGGAUUCACCGAGAUGUUCUUAUUUAUCUGAGAAGUUUUGCGAUGCUCCCGCCACAAAAGUCACGUGCAACAUAUAUCAUUACUAUAUAACUGAUUAAUGUAAAGAUAAACAUUAACACAAUAAUUAUAAUUUCCUUCGUAUGCCUUAGUAUCUGUGCAGGAGACAGAAAGCAAAAUAAAUCCGACUUUAUAAAUAGCAAAUAACGACGAUCUUUUGAAGAAGCUAUUAAAUCUUAAUUGCAUUAAUCACUAGCAUACUAUUACGAACUGUAGAAUUCUCUAAAUGUCACAAAAUAAACAAA